GUUUGAUCCUGGCUCAGAACGAACGUUAGCGGCGCGCCUAACACAUGCAAGUCGAGCGAGAAGGAAGCAAUUCCUGUAAAGCGGCGCACGGGUGAGUAACACGUAGGUAAUCUACCUCGAAGUGGUGGAUAACCUUCCGAAAGGAGGGCUAAUACAGCAUGAGACCACGGUUUCGAAAGAGAUUGAGGUCAAAGCGGGCCACUAUACAUAAGCUCGCGCUUCGAGAUGAGCCUGCGGCCCAUCAUGGUAGUUGGUAGGGUAAUGGCCUACCAAGCCGAAGACGGGUAGCUGGUCUGAGAGGAUGAUCAGCCACACUGGAACUGAGACACGGUCCAGACUCCUACGGGAGGCAGCAGUGGGGAAUCUUGCGCAAUGGGCGAAAGCCUGACGCAGCGACGCCGCGUGAGUGAUGAAGGCCUUC
rnacentral:rRNA from 1 species